rnacentral:rRNA from 1 species
ACGUGAUCUGAGUUCAGACCGGAGUAAUCCAGGUCGGUUUCUAUCUAUAUUAGAGCUUAUUCCAGUACGAAAGGACCGAAAAAGCAUGGCCUAUACCCAAAGCAAGCCAUCACUAUUAAUUUUUGCCCCCCACUCAACUAACUAAUAAUCUACCACAUCCCCCAAGACCAGAGG